rnacentral:lncRNA from 1 species
UUUCAAAGAAUAUAUUAGCUUAGUCACUUACUUAUUUUUUUUACAAAACAAAAUAUCGGAGUCUUGAAAGUUGAAUCCAUAUUAUUGUAAAUGUACAUAAGAGUUUGUGAUUACAUAUUUAGUGAUUCUUGUAUAUGUGUUCAAGAAAGUUUCAAUGGCUUAGUGGUAUCUGUCCUAUAUUUAUGUAAUACUAACCCGGGUUCGAUCCUUUCUUUUGCAUUGUUUAUUCAUUUUUUACGAAAAACUAAGUGAAAAGACGUGGCAACUUCGGACUCUUUGAUUGGACGAUUUUUUGUGCUUACGUGGACACUCUAAGAGGAGCUUAUAUCCCCCUUUUAGUAUAGUAUUCUUAACUUUGUCACGAAAAUAAAAAUCUAUGUUUUUUCAUAUUUGUCAAUGUUCUCACACUUUCAAAGAAUAUAUUAGCUUAGUCACUUACUUAUUUUUUUUUACAAAACAAAAUAUCGGAGUCUUGAAAGUUGAAUCCAUAUUAUUGUAAAUGUACAUAAGAGUUUGUGAUUACAUAUUUAGUGAUUCUUGUAUAUGUGUUCAAGAAAGUUUCAAUGGCUUAGUGGUAUCUGUCCUAUAUUUAUGUAAUACUAACCCGGGUUCG